rnacentral:lncRNA from 1 species
AGCAAGGGGAAAUCAGCAGGGACUGGUCAUCCGGAAGCUGUGAUGGAGAGAAUCCAUGGUCCCAUGGAUUCAGCGGGAGGCAGUUACAGUCACUCACAGCAGAGUCUGGGGAAACGGAAAGGAUGUAGAAGCCAAGAGCAUCGCUUUGGACAGGAGAGACAAGCAGCUCUUGAGCAACAGCCAUCUGCUGAGGAAAGGGCAUUUGCUGGUCCUGUUGCCUUUCACCUUUGGAGUUCCUGACUCCUGCUCCACCCACCAGGAAGCCACUAUUUACCCCAGAGAAUAAGCAAAGUACCCACAGAGCUGCUGUAAGGCAAGAUCUCACCUCAAGACUUCAGAUUAUCCGGGCAUGCCUUUAAUCCCAGCUCUCAGGAGUCAGAGGGCAUUCUUACCGAAUCAUCUCAAGAUGGCCUAAACAACAGAAACCUAUUGGUGGAGGCUGGAAGUCUAAGAUGAAGGUACCUUCAGGGCUGUGUGCCCUCUAAAGAUUUUCAGAGAGCAGGCUUCCUAGAUCCUUCAGCUGUGGUUCAUCCAGGUAGUUGUGCCUUGACCUGUGACAUGGACUCUCCCAUCUCUGCCUCCAUCUUCCUGUGGCUUCCUUCUGUAUCUGUCUGUCCCUGUAUCUCAAAUCUCUCUCUCCUGUUUCUCCUAAGGACACAAAUCACUGGGUUUUAGAGCUACCUUAACCCCAGGAUGAUCUUGUGUAUAGAUCUUUAAUUAAAUCUGUAGAAGUUGUUUUCAAAUAAAAUCGCAUUCACAGGCAGAUGUCAGGACACAGACAUACUUUGUGGAGACAUAUUUCAAUGCUUUCUACUAUGAUAAUUAUUUGCUGUUCAUAUUGAUGUUAACCUGUGGCAUGUUAAGCAGGUCAUUUGAUUCCCCGUAAACAAGGCCUGGCACACAGGUGCUCAAUAAAUACUCCCAAAUGGAGAAUGAGACUGUGUACUUAGAAGCAUGUUUGGCUCAUGUCACUCAACAACCGAUUCCAUGAGCAGGCGCAAUGAUAGCAAUCCAGUACUAAUAAGAGCCCUCAUCCAGUGGCUGAUGGAAGCAGAGGCAGACACCCACAGAUAUACACUGAACUGAACUCUGGAACUUAGUUGCAGAGAGGGAGGAAUGAAGAUCAAAGGGGUCGGUACCAGGCUGGUGAAACCCACAGAAACAGCUGGCCUGAACAAGGGGGAGCACAUGGACCCCAGACUGCUGUCUGGGAGGCCAGUGCAGGACUGAUCCAGACCCCUGAACAUAGAUGUCAAUCAGGAGGCCUCUGCACUCUAGGGGGCCCCUGGUAGUGGAUUAGUAUUUUUCCCUGGUGUAAGAAGGGACUUUGAGAGCCCAUCCCACUUGAAGGAAUGCUCUCUCGGCCUGGACACAUGUGGGAGGGCCUAGGCCCAGCCCAGGAUGAUGUGGUGGACUUUGGGGGAACCCCAUCAAAGGCCCUACCCUGCCUGGGAAGUGAAGGGUGGAUGGGGUGGG